CCUACGGGUGGCAGCAGUGGGGGAUAUUGCACAAUGGGCGAAAGCCUGAUGCAGCGACGCCGCGUGAGGGAAGACGGUCUUCGGAUUGUAAACCUCUGUCUUUGGGGAAGAAAAUGACGGUACCCAAAGAGGAAGCUCCGGCUAACUACGUGCCAGCAGCCGCGGUCAUACGUAGGGAGCAAGCGUUGUCCGGAAUUACUGGGUGUAAAGGGAGCGUAGGCGGGAUGGCAAGGAGAAUGUUAAAUCCCGCGGCUAAACCGGUGGCUGCGUUCUAAACUGCCGUUCUUGCGUGACCUAGAGGCAGGCGGAAGUCCUAGUGUAGCGGUGAAAUGCGUAGAUAUUAGGAGGAACACCAAUGGCGAAGGCAGCCUGCUGGGCUUGAACUGACGCUGAGGCUCGAAAGCGUGGGGAGCAAACAGGAUUAGAUACCCCUGUAGUC
rnacentral:rRNA from 1 species